CGCGGUGGUCCCACCUGACCCCAUGCCGAACUCAGAAGUGAAACGCCGUAGCGCCGAUGGUAGUGUGGGGUCUCCCCAUGCGAGAGUAGGGA
rnacentral:rRNA from 2 species